rnacentral:rRNA from 1 species
UAACACGUGGGAAUCUACCUCCAAGUCGGUGAUAACCCCGAGAAAUCGGGGACAAUCACCGAUAGUCCCGCAAGGGUAAAGAUUUAUCGCUUGGAGAUGGGCCCGCGUCCCAUCAGCUAGUUGGUAGGGUAACGGCCUACCAAGGCUACGACGGGUAGGGGGUGUGAGAGCAUGACCCCCCACAAUGGCACUGAGACAAGGGCCAUACGCCUACGGGUGGCAGCAAUCGGGAAUCUUGCACAAUGGACGCAAGUCUGAUGCAGCGACGCCGCGUGAAGGAUGAAGGUCGAAAGAUUGUAAACUUCUUAAUUUGCCGUAAGGCAAAGGAUUAAGCCCCGGCUAACUACGUGCCAGCAGCAGCGGUAAAACGUAGGGUGCGAGCGUUAUCCGGAUUUACUGGGCUUAAAGAGUACGUAGGUGUUUCGGGAAGUCUUGGCUUAAAUCCCGCGGCUCAACCGCGGAACGUGUCGAGAUACUUCCGAAAUUGAGGAAGGUAGGGGGUGGCGGAACAUUGCAAGGAGGGGUGAAAUCCGAUGAUCUGCGAUGGAACACCGAAAGCGAAGGCAGCCACCUGGGCCUUUCCUGACACUGAGGUACGAAAGCUAGGGGAGCGAAACGGAUUAGAUACCCGUGUAGUCCUAGCCGUAAACGAUGGACACUAGCUAUCUCCAGUUUUGGGUGGCGUAAGCUAACGCGUUAAGUGUCCCGCCUGGGGAGUACGGCCGCAAGGCUAAAACUCAAAGGAAUUGACGGGGACCCGCACAAGCGGUGGAGCAUGUGGUUUAAUUCGAUGAUAACCGAAGAAUCUCACCAGGGUUUGACAUGCAAGUGGUAGGAAUCCGAAAGGUGACCGACCCGCAAGGGAGCUUGCACAGGUGUUGCAUGGCUGUCGUCAGUUCGUGGCGUGAGCUGUAUGGUUAAGUCCCAUAACGAACGCAACCCCUAUUGUUAGUUAGAUAUGUCUAACGAGACUGCCCGGGCAACCGGGAGGAAGGUGGGGACGACGUCAAGUCAGCAUGGCCUUUAUAUCCUGGGCUACACACAUGCUACAAUGGCGACCACAACGGGUUGCGAAGCGGCAACGCUGAGCUAAUCCUCAAAAGUCGUCUCAGUUCGGAUUGGGGGCUGAAACUCGCCCCCAUGAAGUUGGAAUCGCUAGUAAUGGCCGGUCAGCUAUACGGCCGUGAAUACGUUCUCGGGUCUUGUACACACCGCCCGUCA